CACGUAGGGGACGAGCGUUGUCCGGAUUCAUUGGGCGUAAAGCGCGCGUAGGCGGCUCGGAAAGUCGGUCGUGAAAUGCCGGGGCUCAACCCCGGGACUGCGUCCGAUACUUCCGGGCUGGAGGUAGGUAGGGGAGAUCGGAAUUCCUGGUGUAGCGGUGAAAUGCGCAGAUAUCAGGAGGAACACCGGUGGCGAAGGCGCUCUGCUGGACCAUAACUGACACUCAGGGACGAAAGCUAGGGGAGCGAAUGGG
rnacentral:rRNA from 1 species